AUAAGACACCAUAACGCUCCUCCGUCAUAUUGGGAUUGGAAACAGUAAGAUAAAGAUGUUGAAGGAGGUUAUCAUCCUGUGCUUCAUGGUCGCAGUCGCUAGUGCGAGCACUUGCCGUAACUGCCAGGUAAACCGGAAACAGUACAGAGGCAACAGCAAAUUCACCUACGACAGAGCAUGCUAUCGUUUCAGUUGCUUAUGUUACUGUGACGGUUCACAUUAUUGUCCAGUCUAUUUAACCAAAAGGGUUUGCGGAGUCGUCCCGCGAGCAUGCAGACCAUGUAAGGUGUCUGGAAGAGAGUACCAGCGUGGUCGCUUCUGGUUUGACGAUAAGUGUUACAGAUUUGAUUGCAACUGUAAAUGUGAUGGGUCCUAUGCUUGUCUUGCAUCAAACCCCAGAUAUAUUUGUUGACCAUUAUACUGACAAAAGCUUCAUUUAAAAAUAUUGCUGUUUGAAUAAACGAUGCGAUAAAAGUUA